AUUGAACGCUGGCGGAAUGCUUUACACAUGCAAGUCGAACGGCAGCACGGACUUCGGUCUGGUGGCGAGUGGCGAACGGGUGAGUAAUGUAUCGGAACGUGCCCAGUCGUGGGGGAUAACGUAGUGAAAAUUACGCUAAUACCGCAUACGAUCUAUGGAUGAAAGCGGGGGAUCGCAAGACCUCGCGCGAUUGGAGCGGCCGAUAUAAGAUUAGGUAGUUGGUGGGGUAAAGGCCCACCAAGCCAACGAUCUGUAGCUGGUCUGAGAGGACGACCUGCGACGCGAGAGCUGAGAACCGGGCCAGACUCUUAUGGGUGGAGGUAGUGGGUAAUUUUGGAUAACGGGCGAAUGCGUGAUCCAGCCAUUCCGCGUGCAGGACGAAGGCCCUCGGGUUGUAAACUGAUUUUGUAAAGAACGAAAAGGUUUCUACUAAUACUAGGAGCUCAUGACGGUAGUGUAAGAAUAAGCACCGGCUAACUACGUGCCAGCCGCCGCGGUAA
rnacentral:rRNA from 1 species